rnacentral:rRNA from 1 species
AGUGAACGCUGGCGGUAGGCCUAACACAUGCAAGUCGAACGGCAGCACAGUAAGAGCUUGCUCUUACGGGUGGCGAGUGGCGGACGGGGGAGGAAUACAUCGGAAUCUACUUUUUCGUGGGGGAUAACGUAGGGAAACUUACGCUAAUACCGCAUACGACCUACGGGUGAAAGCAGGGGAUCUUUGGACCUUGCGCGAUUGAAUGAGCCGAUGUCGGAUUAGCUAGUUGGCGGGGUAAAGGCCCACCAAGGCGACGAUCCGUAGCUGGUCUGAGAGGAUGAUCAGCCACACUGGAACUGAGACACGGUCCAGACUCCUACGGGAGGCAGCAGUGGGGAAUAUUGGACAAUGGGCGCAAGCCUGAUCCAGCCAUACCGCGUGGGUGAAGAAGGCCUUCGGGUUGUAAAGCCCUUUUGUUGGGAAAGAAAAGCAGCAGGUUAAUACCCCGCUGUUCUGACGGUACCCAAAGAAUAAGCACCGGCUAACUUCGUG